rnacentral:lncRNA from 1 species
CUUUGAAAAAGUCUAAUUAAAAAAAUCCAUGAUAUUUUCUGGUAUGAAAGUUUGACAGUAUUAAUAUUUUUUUUAUAUUUUCUUAAAUCAUUAAACCAUUUUAAUAUAUGUUAAUUACUAAUAAAUGGUUUAUUCUUUCUAACUCCAUAUAAGCUUUUCCAGCAAAGAUUUUAAUAACACAUUUAUGUUCUCAUUUUUCUACAGAUAUAAGUAAAUUUAUAUUUAAAAAUACCAAAAAAUAAAUAUAUAUAUGUAUGUAUACAUACCAUACACGCACACACACACACACACACACACACACACAAUUAUAGAGGACCCUUAGGUUGUCUGAGCCCAGCUACCUUCAUUUUUAGUACUGUGUUGUCGGGCUGUUUCCAGGCCUCAGGUGUUGUCUUUUGUGCUGUGUGGGGAUAUCAUUGCUGCCUGUACUUAAUGAUCCUUUCACCGUGGGUUCUGAACGUUCACCUCACCAUGUUUACAGAAAACUGUUUUGUACAUAGAGUUCUUCAGGCACACGCUUUGCACCAACCCAGUGUGGCUCUUGUCUGUAUUAGCUGUCACAGUGUACACACUAAUCUCUGUUAGAGUUCUUUGUGGCUGUUUUACUUGUAAGAUAGUUUUCUAUUUCCUUCAGUAAUGUGUCCAGAGUACCCUGUAUUUCGAGUUCUAUUAUAUUGAAGUACUUUUGUUUUAAUAGUGCCUCCCCAAAGACCUCACCCUGGACAGAAGUCAGUCCUUGAUGCCCCAGUGCAAGUGACAUCGCUAAUUGUCACUUUCUAGUUUGUUCUUCUCUAAGAAGACAGUUCGUAAUUGCAACUCUGUGGGCUGUGAGACUGUGUGAAGCUGUUUGUGUAGUUUCCGUGUAGGUGCUGUGUUCCCAGCAGUUCUGAACACUGGUAAUUCCAGGUGCUGCGCUCGGCAGAGGGGUCUCGCCAAAGCGCAUAUGUGUGUGUGCGUGUGUGUGCGUGCGUGAGAGUGUGUCCUUGGCAUGGCCGGGCGUGGCUGCCUUGCUCAGGCAUCAGCAGGACAUUUUGUGAAUAGUUACAAUGCUUCCAAACUGGAACUCUACAUUUUGUAUCUUACUUUUAAAGCUCCUAUAAGUGAAAUACCUAUUCGCUUUAUUAAAAAAUAUACAUUUAAUAAUA